rnacentral:rRNA from 1 species
CCUACGGGCGGCAGCAGUGAGGAAUAUUGGUCAAUGGACGAGAGUCUGAACCAGCCAAGUAGCGUGAAGGAUGACUGCCCUAUGGGUUGUAAACUUCUUUUAUAUGGGAAUAACAUGUUCCACGUGUGGGUUUUUGUAUGUACCAUAUGAAUAAGGAUCGGCUAACUCCGUGCCAGCAGCCGCGGUAAUACGGAGGAUCCGAGCGUUAUCCGGAUUUAUUGGGUUUAAAGGGAGCGUAGGUGGAUUGUUAAGUCAGUUGUGAAAGUUUGCGGCUCAACCGUAAAAUUGCAGUUGAAACUGGCAGUCUUGAGUACAGUAGAGGUGGGCGGAAUUCGUGGUGUAGCGGUGAAAUGCUUAGAUAUCACGAAGAACUCCGAUUGCGAAGGCAGCUCACUGGACUGCAACUGACGCUGAGGCUCGAAAGUGUGGGUAUCAAACAGGAUUAGAUACCCUUGUAGUC